UAGAUGCAUAAUUAAGAGUGGAGAUUAUUUUGUUAAAUCAGGGUAUUGGCUUAAUUGUCAGGUAAAUGAAAAGGAGGUGUUGCAAGAUGCGUUUUUAGCAAAGUCGGAUUAAGUCGAUUGGAAUGAAAGUUGAUGCUCUUUGUCGUGUCUAUGGUAUAGAAGGAGAAACUAUAAACCAUGUUCUUUCCAGUUGAAAGGUAAGUAUGAGCCCUUUCAAACUUUCCAUCUCCUAGAGAUGGUAUUAUAAACUUCUCAAUUUUUGACAAUAUGCAUCAUAUGAAAUGUUGGGGCGUGUCUUGGUCUUAGAAGAAACAGGUUAUUGGUGGUGCUUGAAUUUUGUGACAUGAGAAUGAUAUUUUCUUUGCACAUAGUCGUAGAGUACGUAUUUAGUAACACCUGACAGCCUUAACGAAACACAACUGCAUUUCUUUGUUGAGGGUGGUGGGGAUCGGAGUAUGUGUAGUAUUAACUAUUAAGACCUUGUUUAUAGGGGGUUCAUAGAGAAGAUCUUAGUCUUUUGGUGAAAAAAAAUAAAUCAGAAAUGAAGAAAAAUGGUAAGAUCUCCCCUUAUAUAAGAGACUGAAUCUUGGUCUAAGGAGCGAUACGUGUCGCUAUUCUAUUGGUCGAACAAAUAAAACAAAAAAUAAAAAAAAAACAUUUCCUGCUUGAUUUUUUUCUUUUUUCCUUUCUCUCUCUCUCGGUUGCGAUUGAAUCAACGAAACCAUUGAUGAAUUUGGAAUCAGAAGCUUGAAGGUUGGCUCAAUCAUUUGAAUCAAUUGGAAUCAGAAAGGGAAGUUUCUUUUUUAUUCUCUCUUUCUCUGUUUUGAAAUUGGAAUUGAAUCUGAUAUCAAUCUUUGUUUUUGGGGGCGGGUUUGAAUUUUAUGUGAAACAGAGUGAAGAUGGACGUAGAUGUUCCAGUAUCCGUAGCGUAUAAUUUCUACUUGGAUCGUGAAUCUUUUCCUUAAUGGAUGCCUUUUAUUUCAUCCGUAGAGCCUACUCCUAAUCAAAAGAUUCAUUGGAGAUCUCUUGAAGGUCUUCCUAAUAAAGAGACACACAACAGAUAACAAAGAUUACAAAUUGCAGAGGUUCUUGCUUGCUUUUUAAUUUGCAGAGGUGUUAUAACUUGAGGAUUUUAAAAUUGAUUCGCACAAGGACGCCAAAGAAAAGCAUCUUUACAAACUGAUCUUUUACAUGAGUUUAUCGUAUGAAGCAUCUUUCAAGUGUGAGUAUAUAAACACUAAAACACAUCAUCCUGUCUCUACAUUUUGUGUCAUAUCAGUUUUUUUGCUCUCUCCUUCCUUCCUUCCUUCCUCUGACUACAAGAUCCUGGUUCUUUAAAUGAUAUAAAAAUUUUCUGGAUCAUAUAUAGUUUCCUGAUAAGGUUCUUGAUUAAUGAGGGACUAGACUUCUUUUGUUAUAGUUACUUUGGUCAUUAGGAGGGGAAUGCUGGGAUACUAGACCAAUCUGCUAUGCAUUAAGUGAAUUGCGAAAAACAUGAACCGCUGAGCUGGGAUUUGAGAGUAUAUAUUGCUUUAGACGUAGCACGCGGUCUAGAGUAUCUUCACGAUGGGAGGAGAGAUCCCCGAGACUAUGGAAAUGGAACGCGGUGAUCUCUACUUCAUACGCUACAAGAUUGUUAAAGGAGCAAUCAUAUCUGGCCAAAUUGACUUGAUCUGAGCUCAGUCAUGGAUUUUUCACUCAAAUCUCUUUCCAUAGCCAUAAGUGAAAGAUAGUGCUACCAUUGUUCAUUAUGUCAUGAACCUGAUUUACUUGAGUUGUAUAGUGGAUUACAUAACAAUUCGUCUCUAAAAGUAACAAUAUUUUGAUAGGUCGAAAUGUUAAAAGAGAUCUUUUUGAGGUUUCACUCUAUUGCAGUGUAAGAUGAACCAAUUUCUUCAA